CCGAGGCUCAUUUCAUCACCGUGGACAGCGCUAUGAAAUCACGGCACACAUUGACAAAUGAACUCAUGUGCAUGCUCAAGCUACAAUACAAUUUCAAAUGCAUUCUUUUCUUUUUUUCUUUAGAUACAAGGAAGUGCGGUGCGCCCGGCCCCGCCAGGAUCCCACCUCAGCCCGGCGCGUGUCGGUCUUCACUUAAGCCGCGCGGCGUGGCGCGGCACACAGGCGCACACUCCAUAUCCACACUCCGGCUCAACGCGCACCGCAGCCACUGAACCACCAGGCUCCUCAGUCACAGUGCACAUGUUUUCAAUAAUAAGCCCCGCCCCAAACAUUUCAAGCUUUCACACCUGAUUGGCUGACCAUUGUGCCAAUAUUUAAACUCCUGUGUUGACAGCCGCACCAGAGGGACAGAUCACAGAUCAUCAACGCAAACCUGCUACAAAACCCCGGACUGGUAUUCAUGGACGGACUGAACUGGAUUUGGUUUGCUGGUGAUGAGUUGGAAGCAAGCCAAGAGGGGCAGUGGCCCUGGUGGCAGUAGUGAAUGAAGAUCAGGAUGAGUUGGAAGCAAGCCAAGAGGGGCAGUGGCCCUGGUGGCAGUAGUGAA